AAUGAACGUUGGCGGCAUGGAUUAGGCAUGCAAGUCGGGGGAAUCCCAGCAAUGGGGGAACCGGCGUAAGGGGCAGUAAGGCAUGGGUACCUACCUUGGGGUUCGGGAUAGCCAUCAGCGAUGGUGGGUAAUACCGGAUGACGUCGUGAGACCAAAGAUUUAUCGCCCUUAGAGGGGCCCAUGUGAUAUUAGCUAGUUGGUGGGGUAACGGCCCACCAAGGCGAAGAUGUCUAGCGGGUGUGAGAGCACGACCCGCGCCACUCGGCACUGAGACACUGGCGAGACACCUACGGGUGGCUGCAGUCGAGGAUCUUCGGCAUGAGCGCAAGCUUGACCGAGCGAUGCCGCGUGAGCGAUGAAGGCCUUCGGGUUGUAAAGCUCUUUAGUGGGGGAGAAAAGCCGCAAGGUGUGAUCUAUCCCAAAAAUAAGCACGGGCUAAGUUCGUGCCAGCCGCCGCAGUAA
rnacentral:rRNA from 1 species